GCCUUUGUGCUUUCUUCUCAAGUUCUUUGUUCAUUUAACAAAGAAACAAGCACUAGUGUUUGCAUUGACUAAGUGUUGUUCAAAGCAACUAUUAUUUCUUCAUACAACAAUUUGUAAGUGAAGAACUAAUAACACUAAAAGUGUCCUUGUCAUUAUGCUAAUCUUCGUAAGUUCCUUUGUUCAUUUAACAAAGGAUUAAGCAUUGGUUGUUUGUGUUUGUCCUCUUCAUGAUAGACUUUUCUAACAUGUUCUUCCAAUGAUA
rnacentral:lncRNA from 1 species